ACGGGGGAUUAGGGUUCGAUUCCGGAGAGGGAGCCUGAGAAACGGCUACCACAUCUAAGGAAGGCAGCAGGCGCGCAAAUUACCCAAUUCUAACAGCAUAAGAGAGGUAGUGACAAGAAAUAACAAUACAAGGCAUUUAAAAUGCUUUGUAAUUGGAAUGAUAGAAAUUUAAACACUUUUUAAAGUAUCAAUUGGAGGGCAAGUCUGGUGCCAGCAGCCGCGGUAAUUCCAGCUCCAAUAGCGUAUAUUAAAAUUGUUGCAGUUAAAAAGCUCGUAGUUGAAUUUCUGUUAAAAAUAACCGGUCUGCUUUUAACAAAAGUGGUAUCUUGGUGUGUUUUUAGCAAUAAUGUCCUUUGAAAUGUGUUUUACUUUGUUGUAAAAAACAAUAUUCAGGAUUUUUACUUUGAGAAAAUUAGAGUGUUUCUAGCAAGCUAAUGUUUUGAAUACUGCAGCAUGGAAUAAUAAAAUAGAAUUUUAGUUCUACAUUGUUGGUUUUAAGAGCUGAAUUAAUGAUUGAUAGGGACAGUUGGGGGCAUUUGUAUUUAACUGUC
rnacentral:rRNA from 1 species